AAGAAGGAAAAGCUUCAUGGUAGAAUAUCGGAGGAAAGCAGAAAAAAAAAGAAAAAGAAAGGAAAAGAGGGAACGAACGGAUAGACGUACAGAGUGGUAAAGGCAAAAGGAAGCAGUGGCAGCGCGAAGAAUGUCAUAGCUAGUUGUUUCUGACCGAGGGGGGAGGCUGACACCUUCGUGAUGGAUGAUCGUCGACCGUCCGCUAAAGCUGCCGUUGCUGCUGCUGACGCGGCCGCCGUCGGAAUGGCUGUUGCUGCUAUUGCUUCUGUUGCUGCAAGAUGCAAUUCUGGUUUCACAAAAAGAGAUGAGACUGAGAGAACGUCGACUGGGACUCGACAAAGGAGUGCAAAGGGUUAAACAACAUCUGCAGUCGCUGAUCCAUGAGACACCUGGUGGAAAAUAGUUGAAAUUCCAGAGAAAACAAUUGAAACGAAGGUAAUAUUUCUAUUGCAACAGACGCUACACAAGAAAAUCUCCAGCCUCUGAGAAGUGAUCUUAUAGCUUGGAAACCACCCCGGUUUCCUCCACAAUUUCUCCAUUAUGGAGGAUGGCUUUGGUACACCAUCAGCUUGGUAACUUAAUCCCGGAGAAGUUAGAAGAAAGAUGACAGUACGAUGGAGCUGAAGAGGAGAGAAAUUGGCCCGAGGGUCUCCCGCUGAGAAACAAAUUUUUCCGCGAGCAAGUAGGUGCAAAGUACAGUAAGCUCGGCAGCAUUCAGCGGACCCGGGGAUGUAGAGGCGGUAGCACUCGAUGCUGUGCCGUUGGGAGCGUGCUAAUGGCUACUGACACACAGUUUUGAUGGAUCGGCCACGGCUCUUCCUCCUAUCCCGCACUCCGCCGCAACGAAAUAUGCGAGUCUAGCGAUACGCCGACGUUUCACGAUGAGAGGAAAUGCACUGACAAACAGGAAGACGAGCUGCAAAUGUUAUUGCGUUUCGUACGAACGGCAAUCCUGCUGAUGAUCAAUAUCUGGGUCAGCUAACGAAAAACAUUCGUUGAGAUACUAUUUUCAUGAAAUCCUUUGCGUUACACUGUGUCUCUUCAGUUACAUUUUUGGUGAAAGUCGUAGUUCGAGUAAGAGAACCGCCAAUAUCCUGUGUGACAGACGUUGAUCUCGUUUCACAAAUUGUACAACGCUUGUUACGCUCACAUUUUAUACACAAAUUUUCCUGCGAAACACAUCGAGAAUAUAUAUAUGUAAACUGCCUAGAGUUCAUGUAGGAUAGGGAUUCUUUUUGUUUUACGGGUAGCACGACAGGCUGUGUUUCACGGACAGAGCGAUCUUCCUUUGUUUUACGGACGACCAUUUGAAGAAGCACGUUUUCCCAAACGGACGGACAGAGAGUUACAUUAGAGACAGACAAGGUUACAGAAUAGUUAUUUAAGACUUUGAAGACUGAAG
rnacentral:misc_RNA from 1 species